rnacentral:lncRNA from 1 species
GAACAGAGUGCCCCAUGGUGGAGGUGGGGUUAUGGUAUGGGCCCCAUGGUGGAGGUGGGGUUAUGGUAUGGGCCCCAUGGUGGAGGUGGGGUUAUGGUAUGGGCCCCAUGGGGGAGGUGGGGUUAUGGUAUGGGCCCCAUGGUGGAGGUGGGGUUAUGGUAUGGGCCCCAUGGUGGAGGUGGGGUUAUGGUAUGGGCCCCAUGGUGGCGGUGGGGUUAUGGUAUGGGCCCCAUGGUGGAGGUGGGGUUAUAGUAUGGGCCCCAUGGUGGCGGUGGGGUUAUGGUAUGGGCCCCAUGGUGGCGGUGGGGUUAUGGUAUGGGCCCCAUGGUGGCGGUGGGGUUAUGGUAUGGGCCCCAUGGUGGAGGUGGGGUUAUGGUAUGGGCCCCAUGGUGGAGGUGGGGUUAUGAUAUGAGCCCCAUGGUGGAGGUGGGGUUAUGGUAUGGGCCCCAUGGUGGAGGUGGGGUUAUGGUAUGGGCCCCAUGGUGGAGGUGGGGUUAUGGUAUGGGGCAGGCAUAAGCUACGGACAACGAACACAUUUCCAUUUUAUCAUUGGCAAUUUGA